rnacentral:tRNA from 1 species
AAAAAAAGGGCCGGAAAAAAGGAUUUUUCGGAUAAAAAAAAAAAAGGAAAUUUUUUUCCCCUCUAUUA